rnacentral:rRNA from 1 species
AGAGUUUGAUCCUGGCUCAGAAUCAACGCUGGCGGCGCGCUUAACACAUGCAAGUCGAACGAGAAAGGGGAGCAAUCCCUGAGUAAAGUGGCGUACGGGUGAGUAACACGUGGGUAAUCUACCUUUUGGUGGGGAAUAACGCUGGGAAACCGGUGCUAAUACCGGAUACCCCCAUUCCGCCGCAUGACGGGAUGAGGAAAUGAAUUUCGCUUCGGGAGGGGCUCGCGGCCUAUCAGCUUGUUGGUGAGGUAACGGCUCACCAAGGCUUCGACGGGUGGCUGGUCUGAGAGGACGAUCAGCCACACUGGGACUGAGACACGGCCCAGACUCCUACGGGAGGCAGCAGUGGGGAAUCUUGCGCAAUGGGCGAAAGCCUGACGCAGCAACGCCGCGUGGGGGAUGACGGCCUUCGGGUUGUAAACCCCUUUCAGCAGGGACGAAAUUGACGGUACCUGCAGAAGAAGCCCCGGCCAACUACGUGCCAGCAGCCGCGGUAAUACGUAGGGGGCAAGCGUUGUCCGGAUUCAUUGGGCGUAAAGGGCGCGUAGGCGGCUUGGCAAGUCGGAUGUGAAACCUCCAGGCUCAACCUGGAGAUGCCACCCGAUACUGCUAUGGCUCGAGUUCGGUAGGGGAUCACGGAAUACCUGGUGUAGCGGUGAAAUGCGCAGAUAUCAGGUGGAACACCGGUGGCGAAGGCGGUGAUCUGGGCCGACACUGACGCUGAUGCGCGAAAGCGUGGGGAGCGAACAGGAUUAGAUACCCCCGUAGUCC